rnacentral:rRNA from 1 species
UACGUAGGGUGCAAGCGUUAAUCGGAAUUACUGGGCGUAAAGCGUGCGCAGGCGGCUAUGCAAGACAGAUGUGAAGUCCCCGGGCUCAACCUGGGAACUGCAUUUGUGACUGCAUAGCUAGAGUACGGUAGAGGGGGAUGGAAUUCCGCGUGUAGCAGUGAAAUGCUUAGAGAUGACAUAGAACACCAAUUGCGAAGGCAGCUUCUAAACGAUUAUUGACGCUGGAGGCGCGAAAGCGUGGGGAGCAAACAGG